rnacentral:tRNA from 1 species
AUAAUAGAAGUAACUACACUCAGUUUCGACCUGAACCACGGCUAAAGCCCUAUUAUA